rnacentral:rRNA from 1 species
GGUUCGAUCAUGAGCCAGAUUGAACGCUGGCGGGAUGUAUGAGUCGAACGGCAGCACGGACUUCGGUCUGGUAAUGGUGGCGAACAGGUGAGUAAUGUAUCGGAACGUGCCUAGUAGCGGGGGAUAACUACGCGGCGUAGCUAAUACGCAUACGCCCUUGGGGAAAAAGCGAGGGGACCUUUGACUCACCACUAUUGAAGCAGCCGACCUCGGAUUAGCUGGUUGGUGGGGUAACGGCUCACCAGGCGACGAUCCGUAACGGGAUGAGGGGACGACCAGCCACACUGGGACUGGAACCGACCCAGACUCCCUGGGAGGGCAGCAGUGGGGGUACGGACAAUGGGAAACCUGAUCCCAGCCAUCCCGCGUGUGCGAUGAGGCCUUCGGGUUAUAAAAAAGCUUUGGCAGAAGAAAACGGCGGAUAUGCGACGCAGCUGACUUGUUUCUGCAGAAUAAACGCAAAUAACUACGUGCCAACACAACCACUGGCGUAAUACCCGUAAGUGCGUAUUAAUCGAAUUAUGGGCGUAAAGCGUGCGCAGGCGGUUCGGAAGAAAAGAUGUAACGUCCAGAGCAACUUUGGAACUGCAUUUUUAACUACCGGCUGGUGAUGUGUCAGAGGGAGUGGAAUUCCGCGUGUAGCGGUGAAAUGCGUAGAUAUGCGGAGGAGCACCGAUGGCGAGGCAGCCUCCUGGGAUAACACUGACAUUCUUCGCUGCGAAAGCGUGGGAGCAAACAGGAUAGAUGCACCUGGUAGUCCACGCCCCACAAACGUUAUCAACUAGCUGUUGGAAGCCUCGGGCCUUGGUACCGUGACUAACGCGUGAGAUUGACCGCCUGGGGGCCUGGUCGCAAGACUAAGAACUCAAAGAAAUUGACGGGGACCCACUGGUGGAUGAUGUGGAUUAAUUUGAUGCAACGCGAAAAACCUUACCUACCCUUGACGUAUCUGAAUCCCGAGAUUUGGGAGUGCCGCCGAGAACCGGAACACAGGUGCUGCGUGACAAUAUCGGCUGUGUCGUGAGAUCGGCCAGGUUAGAAGGUCCCGCAGGCACAGCCAUGUGUUGGUUGCUGCGGGCGCGCUAAUGGGGCUGCCGGUGACAAACCGGAGAGAUUAGAGGAUGACGUCAGUCUAUCAUGGCUGUGGUACAGGAGCUUACGUCGCUACAAUGGUCGGGACAGAGGGUCGCGGCCCGCGAGAGGCAAUCCCAGAGAGCUUGAUCGUAGUCGGAUCUGAUCUGCAACUCGACUGCGUGAAGUCGGAUCGCACCGGCCAAUCGCGGAUCAGCAUGUCGCGUGAUGAAUACGUUGGGUCUUGUCACUCGCCCACAUCACACCAUGGGAGUGGGUUUUACCAAUGAUUAGCCUAACCGUAAGGAGGGCGGUGGUGAUUUCAUGACUGAGGUGAAGUCGUAACAGCGUUA